rnacentral:sRNA from 1 species
GCCGGGUGUGGUGGCGCACACCUGUAAUCCCAGCACUUAGGAGGCUGAGGCAGGAGGAUCACUGUGAGUUCCAGGACAGCCUGGGCUAGAUAGUGAGUUCAGGGCCAGCCUGAACUACAAAGGGAGACCCUGCCUCAA